UACGGAGGGGGCUAGCGUUGUUCGGAAUUACUGGGCGUAAAGCGCGCGUAGGCGGACCUGCAAGUCGGGGGUGAAAGCCCGAGGCUCAACCUCGGAACUGCCUUCGAUACUGCGGGUCUCGAGUCCGGGAGAGGUGAGUGGAAUUCCUAGUGUAGAGGUGAAAUUCGUAGAUAUUAGGAAGAGCACCAGUGGCGAAGGCGGCUCACUGGCCCGGUACUGACGCUGAGGCGCGAAAGCGUGGGGAGCGAACAGG
rnacentral:rRNA from 1 species